AUUGAACGCUGGCGGCAGGCCUAACACAUGCAAGUCGAACGAGUGGCGGACGGGUGAGUAAUGUCUGGGAAACUGCCUGAUGGAGGGGGAUAACUACUGGAAACGGUAGAUAAUACCGCAUACCAACGGAUGUGCCCAGAGGGGAUUAGCUAGUGGGUGGGGUAAAGGCUCACCUAGGCGACGAUCCCAAGCUGGUCUGAGAGGAAGACCCGCCACCCUGGAACUGAGACACGGUCCAGACUCCUACGGGAGGCAGCAGUGGGGAAUAUUGCACAAUGGGCGCAAGCCUGAUGCAGCCAUGCCGCGUGUAUGAAGAAGGCCUUCGGGUUGUAAAGUACUUUCGGCGGGGAGGCGUUACCCGCAGAAUAAGCACCGGCUAACUCCGUGCCAGCAGCCGCGGUAAUAC
rnacentral:rRNA from 1 species